rnacentral:rRNA from 1 species
GAUCAUGGCUCAGGAUGAACGCUGGNGGCGUGCUUAACACAUGCAAGUCGAGCGAAGCACUUAAGUUUGAUUCUUCGGAUGAAGACUUUUGUGACUGAGCGGCGGACGGGUGAGUAACGCGUGGGUAACCUGCCUCAUACAGGGGGAGUAACAGUUAGAAAUGGCUGCUAAUACCGCAUAAGACCACAGUACUGCAUGGUACAGUGGUAAAAACUACCGGUGGUAUGAGAUGGACCCGCG